UUCGUUCUUGAUCAAUGGAUCCGUUAAUGCCACCUGGCAGAUGUCUGUGUCAGUAGUGAACACCAGAUCAAGAAAGCAAUUGUUGUUGUUUACAAUAUUGCAUACUUGCAUCAGCCCAGCAGCGAGAAAACUAUCAACAAUAGCUAUCUCGGUUUGUGAAGUAAUUUGUUCGGGUUAAAAUCACCGACAACGAUAACUUCGUCUUCCGGACUAAUGCUUACAACUAUGGACUCAAUAAAAAGACAAAACGAGCGAUAACGAUCGAUACCAGAGCCACUGCGUAUUCUGUGCUGGCGAUGCUAUUUCGGACGGCAAUCAGAACACCACCGCCAGAGGUUUUUUCACUAUUGAAGGCAUUUCUAUCACAACGGUAUACACGAAAGGCGGAAGAAAACAAUGAACCAUCCAGUACAGUUGCAUCCAGGUUUUCGUGUCAUUGAUACUAUAGGACUAGUGACGGUCAAAUUUGGUUCCAACUCAGGAUCGUUAUUACUACUGUGUAUUGGCAAGGGGUGUAAGAAAGUUUUCUGGAUUGGACUCAUUAUCUCUGAUAUUUUGAAAUGUGUUGGUUCGAGGUUCACUUAUGAAUUCGCGGAAAUAAAUACCAGUUUGCCAGCUCGAGGGCUGCAUCGCCUUUUCUUUGAAAGCGAUAUCGAUUCCCACCUUAAAUGACACGUAUGUCAUUUGGCUCAAAUCAGCACCAUUGCGGACUAAUUUAACCCAUUAAGCCCCAGACUUUUCCCAGCAGGGAUAGAAAGUUGAAACUUUCAGGAAAAUUCUCUUUUAGGUCAACUAAGAAAAAACCACUGACAUGUAUUUUUAAUUUUGACCCUGUGUCCCGCAACGCUACGUUGCGAAAACGCAACGCUGGGCAUUAAGGGUAUACCGUUUUUGCAUACCUUCAUUAUUAUGCAUAUAAAUGCUUCAUACUUUUUUACCGUUAAAUCAAAU